AGGCCCUUAUAUUUUAUUAUUUGAAUUUAUCUGACUAGGUGCGGCGCGACUAGGACGUGAACUUUAAAUUCUUGCAGUUAAUUUUCAAAGCUCAAAAGUUCAAGUUUCAGGUGUGGGAUUUAUUUCAGUACAUGCACGUGGUUAAUAUUUGUCCAUUUUAAUAUUAUGUGUUUACCGUAUGUGUUGUAAAAAUAUUUAUCGCUAGGGGCCAGCAUAAUUGGUCCAGGACUUCACCGUCCUUGGUAUGCCACAAUGCGAUUUCAUGUUACAGGGUUGCAACCAUUAUAUUGUCGCCAGGGGCCCACAUAUAGGGUCCGGGACAUUAAAGUCCUUGGAUUGCCACAGUGCGUAUGGAAGUUAUGUUACGUUAUGACAAUAUGUGUUACCAUUUUAUUAACAUGGACAACUAUUGCAUGUUUCCACACUGAGUGUACCCUGUAUGCUCAUCCCAUAUUCAACAGUUUCAGGUGAUUGAUAAUGGAGGCGCGUGGAGAGUCGAAUGGGCGCGUCGAAUCUAUUUAAAAAUAAAUGUUUCUUAAAACAUAUUAUGUUAUUUCAUUUGAUAUCUUUUGGUUAUGUAAACUCUGAAAUUCUAUGCUAUUUGUGAUUUGUUUAAAUAAAU
rnacentral:lncRNA from 1 species